rnacentral:misc_RNA from 1 species
AGUAUCCAUACCUUUGUGUGGUGGAUUCUUUUAUAUAUGGAUAGGUUAUGGAAGCCCAGAAAGAAAAAAAAUUGUUAAUCUUUUUCUUAUCUGCACAAGUUAAUUGAUCAAUUUAAGGGAUAUUUUCAAUGAAUUUACUGGACUUAGUUGCUUGGAUUAUGUAGUCUAUAGACUAACGAUAUAUCUGUCAUCUGUGUGUUUUGUUUCCCUUACUAGGAACUUAUUGCUUUCUCUUUAAACUUGGCUUUUAAAGUUCAAGACAUUUUUUUUUUUAAAAAAU